CAACUUCUUCAAUUCUACAAUUCACAAAAAUCCACUUCCACAAUUAAGAAUCUUCAAAGGCAGUGCUCCACUGUAACACUUUGCAACUGAAUACCAGGUAUCCAAAGUAAGACACUUUCAUAACAAACUAACUUCAAGACCACUCAUUCUAUAUGGCUCAACGAGAUAUGCAUAUCAAAAGACCAAUGAAUUGUUUUAUGCUCUGGAGUCGGGAGAAAAGAUGCGAAAUUCUUAAGAAGAAUCCA
rnacentral:lncRNA from 1 species